AAAAGGAGAGAAUAGGGGUAGGCAGUUAGGUGGUUAAUGAAAGGAGAGAGAGAAAAGGAGAGAAGAAGAGAGAAGAGGAGAGAAUAGGGGUAGGCAGUUAGGUGGUUAAUGAAAGGAUAGAGAGAAGAGGAGAGAAGAAGAGAGAAGAGGAGAGAAUAGGGGUAGGCAGUUAGGUGGUUAAUGAAAGGAGAGAGAGAAAAGGAGAGAAGAAGAGAGAAGAGGAGAGAAUAGGGGUAGGCAGUUAGGUGGUUAAUGAAAGGAUAGAGAGAAAAGGAGAGAAGAAGAGAGAAGAGGAGAGAAUAGGGGUAGGCAGU